GCUGGCUGGCUGACUGGCUGACUGGCUGGCUUGACUGGCUGCCAGAUUGUCCUUGCACCAACGCCCCGCCAAACAACAAACUGUUGCUUCUCAGCUGUUUGCCAAUUGCCCCAAUGGCCCACAUUACCCCUGCGAGGCGCUUGCGCAAUGCAAAAAUUUAGCACAGUUCCUGCCGGGCCUGGGCUACGGGUUGGCCCCUGCGCGCAACAGUUUGGGGCAUUCUUAUGCUCGAUUUGGGAUAUUUGAUAGCUGUUGCUUCGCGCCGGAGUCGAGUCCGUUGACGAGCCCGAGCGUAAGUCUCGAGUCUCAGUCUGUUUGGGGACUUCACUGCGUGCGAACGUGCGAGAAUUUUAAACGCGUCUAACAAGUGAAAUCCACGCCGAACGAUUCGAACAUACAAACAGUGCGUUCAAAACAUUUUUGAAGUGACAAAUAUCACGUAUACGUCGAGUGUUAAGCGCUGCGGCUUGAGCUUUAGUUAUAACAGCUGGCUGUUGCGGUAAACAGUGGGUGCGACACGUUAACGGUAACUGGUGCUGGCAUUGGAACCGGAAACGGAAGUGCUCAUAGUCGGCUGGCGGUGCACAGUGCGGGCAGCAACACGGCAACAACGGCGGCCAGAAUUUUUUCACGUUUGGAUAGCGUCGAGGAGGUGCAACGCAGUCGCAGUGGCAGCGCUGUUGGAAUAACGCCCGGCAGUGGUGCAGUGGCAGCGGCAGCGGCAGCGGUGGCAGCGGGUUCACCAGCCAGAACUGGCCAGCAGCAGCAGGCUCAGGUCGGCGGUGUCUACGGCAGUGUGGGCAGUGUGGGCGGU